GGAGAGGUGCCAGAGUGGCCGAAUGGGGCUCCCUGCUAAGGAGUUGUACGGCUAAAACCGUACCGGAGGUUCGAAUCCUCUCCUCUCCG
rnacentral:tRNA from 1 species